AGAGCUUCUAAAAGGAAGAAAAUUUAUAGUAGGAUAAAAAGAGUUUAUAAAAAAAAUAGUUUAGAUAAAAAAUUGAAAGCUAUUAUUAAGGAAAAAAAUAGGAGAAAUAAAGAGUAGAAAGAUAGGAGAAAGAAAAGAGAGAAAAAGAGGAAAAAGAAAGAAAAAGAAUAUAGAGACAAUGAAUUGUUACAAAAAGUUAGGAAUGAGGAAGAGUUAACUAUAAAAUCCUCUAGAAAAGAAUAUUUUAAGAGGAUUCUAACUUUUCUUUCCAAAAAUUUAUCGAGAGCCACUUGUUGUUGCAUAGUGAUAACAGUUGUUCUACAAUCAAAUUAAAAGAAGUUUCAGUUCCAAUGCAGAGACCAUCUAACAACAAUGUUAGACCGUCUAAUAGCAAAAAUAUGAUAAUAUAGAUGUGGUCAGAUGACCCCAAGUUGUCUCCCAACGAAUCUAAUAGUAAAUUCAAUAAAACAGUAUUCAAAACCUAUCUGCAAAACAGUAAGAUUAGUAAUAACAAUAAAGUAAAAUGAUAGUUUUAAUUUGUUGUGCAUAAAAGUAAAGUAGGUGAUAAAAAAUACUAGAGAAAGCAAGUUAACUCCUAAGUUCACCAUAAAUUUUUCAUUGGUUAUAUCAAGAUCAUCAUCCUUCAAUUCUCAUACAAAUGUCAAAUUUAAUCAAACAAGCGUCAAUCAAAUUCAACAACAUCUUAUUAGUAAAACAAAUGUCUACUAAUGUAUUCAAUAUCUCACUCGUCUCCAAGUAUUUAUCUCUUGAACUAAGUGAACAAGAAAUUGAUUAUAACUAAACAAACUAACCAAGAAUUCUAAUUAAAGAAAAGAAGUGAAUUCUUAACAAGCAUUCUAAGACAAUAUUCCUUUGACAUAAACUUGAAUUCAAAAUGAUCAAAGAUUAAAACAAACUACUACAAAUAUUAAAAAAUUGAACUUUAUUGAACAAAACCUCAUAAUUCAAUGGAAAAUUACAAUGAAAUCAAUUUAAAAGUUUUAGUCUUCCAUUACGAAGAGGAAAACAAAACAAAAAUAAAUCAAAGUUUAAGAGCGCUAUUCGACUUUAAAACUUGAUGCCCCUGUUUUUGCUCUGAAAUCUCUUUUAUAAUCUUCUUUUCUUUGCACAAAAUCAAAUUCAUAAUCUAUCUCAGGAUAUUGUUUUACAAUUAUCAAAUAUUUUCUUUCUCUAUUAAUAAGCAAAUAUCUUCUUUCUUAAUCAAUCCUAGAUCUCAUUCUCGCUUCUCUUCCAAAUGUAUUGUUUCCAAACUUGAUUCAGAUUUGUGUAUUGAUUGUAAUUAAGCUCGGUGAUGCUACGAGAGAUAUUGCAGAAGAUUUACGUGAAUAAUAUUUCAAGGAUAUUUGCUCUAUUUUUGAAGCUUUUUACCGAGUAGUUUUUUAGUGCAUAAUUUGAAAGAAUCCCCUCGCAUAAGAUUGAAUUGAUUUUGGUUCUUGCUUCCUCAAAAUGUAAUAGAAUCACCAAAUCAAUAUCUUCCUUUUCCAGAAUGGACAUCCAUCAAGAGUUGCUUUGAGAAUACUAUUUAAGCACAUGAAGCAUUUAAUCCUUCCAUAAUCAAGCUUUCAAUCUUCAAGUGACAUAGUUCUUUUUUGAGAAAUUUUCAACAUCUUCACAAAGGAUAACCGAAUUCAAAUCUGGAAUUGGAAUUGACUAUUUGGGCCCAAAGACUCGCCAAUCCUAUCAAGAGCUUUUAAACACUAAAGAACAAAAUAGAUUUAACAUAGAAUAAAAGAACGUUAGGUAAAGAAAAAUGGAGAAUGGUAUGUUAGUUGGACCAACUAAUAUUCUUUCUGAAAUUUGAAGUUUUUAGGGAGGAAGGGUAUGACAUAGCUUAGUAAAUCAAUCAACAAUACAAUGUGAUAGAAGAAAAUGCUAAAUGAGAAGAGGAACAAAUUGAUGCCUGUUUUACUAGAAAAAAAAGGGAUGAACAAAAUUUUGCAGACACAAGGAUCAAGUUAAUAUGUCACACUGUAGGACUAGGUAAAGAAAAAGGUUUUAAAUUGCAAUUGUAGUAAUGAACUCAUGAUAACAUAAUGGAGUUAUGAAUCCAGGGCUAUCAUGGUUGUGGUUACCAUCACAACUGAGACUUAAAUCCUUGGAAGAGAAUAUUUGAGAGAAAAUCAGGUCAAGAGGGUGUGCUUGAGAACCAUGUGCGAGAAAUCAAAUUCAAGUUCUGUUUCAAAUUAAAACAUGAUUGUGACUCUGUGUUAUUCUUUCAUCUGCGGGCUAUGGGAAGUGAGAAGAUAUGGACUAAGGUAACUUUAAUAAAUCUUUGAUAAUAACACAACCAUAGUUUUAACUUUGAUAAAUCUUUUACAAAUUAGCAGCAAUGGUAUGAUAAUAUAGAUAAUCAUUUUUAACAUUAUUGUCACAUUACUCAAACAGCAAGCAGUAUGGGUCAAAUAGCCAUUUUAAGUAAAGAUAAAUGAUCAGCUCUAACAUCUUCCACAAAAACUAAUGUUCUCAAAGCUUCAAAUUUGUACACCAGUUUUAUUUUUUUUAUUUAUGGUCUAAUGGUCUCUAUUUUAUGUCCAAUGUUGCAAGGACCUGAAAAAUAAAUAUUCCAAAACAAACAAUGUUAUAAAAAGAGAGAGAGGUCAUGCUUACAGAAGAACAAGAUUGGAUUUUCCUCCUCAAUAACUGCCGAAUAACACCUCCAGCCAUCUUAGUUCAGACUGCAAUCCAUUCACAUGAAGACUACAGAAAGUAGCUAAAUAUCUCCAACAAGUAUAAAAGAUCAAAUUCUACAAAUAUGCAUAAGGGUACUGACAAAGACAGCCUCACCAAAAAGUGCAAAUAAGAUAAGAGUAAAUGUUAUCAACUGUUUCUGCAAUGAAGAAUAAGAACCAACAUAAGCAGAAAAAAACAGCAACAUCAAAAACCCACAUCACCAAGCAACACAUUCAAAUGAAAUCUCAAUAGGGCAUAUGAUUGCUGAACAUGGGUCACAGAUCCUAGUUGCAGUGAUUGCUGAACAUUUAAAACUAAGAGCUUACAUGUAAUGAAAAUUGAAUGGAGUAGGAGAAGAUACAAGGACACAUAAGUUUUAUGCAAAAGAACAAAAAUUGAUGGUAUGUUAAAUGUUAAUUAGGAGUGGGGUUGAAGUCUCUUGAAGAUGGUUGGAGAGUGUUGCUUAAAAUGGCAGAUAUGUGUGCUGAGCUGGCCUAAAAGGAAAUGUUGGUUUCACUCACCUUCCUGACUUGUGAGUGAAGACACAUUUGGCAUACAAUUU
rnacentral:lncRNA from 1 species